rnacentral:misc_RNA from 1 species
GAUGAAGAACGUAGCGAAAUGUGAUAAGUAGUGUGAAUUGCAGAAUUCAGUGAAUCAUCGAAUCUUUGAACGCACAUUGCGCCCCUUGGUAUUCCAUGGGGCAUGCCUGUUCGAGCGUCAUUUGUACCUUCAAGCCUUGCUUGGUGUUGGGUGUUUGUCUCGCCUCUGCGCGCAGACUCGCCUCAAAACAAUUGGCAGCCGGCGUAUUGAUUUCGGAGCGCAGUACAUCUCGCGCUUUGCACUCAGAACGACGACGUCCAAAAGUACAUUUUUACACUCUUGACCUCGGAUCAGGUAGGGAUACCCGCUGAACUUAAGCAUAUCAAUAAGCGGAGGA